UCUCUUUUGAAACAGCCAGACAAGACACACCAGCACCAACCCGAGGGCUUGUGGACAAUAACGCUGUGCUCUGGCUAACUUGUAGAGCUUGUGGCUGCAGAAGCUCUGCCAGAUACCCUAUGUACACAAAGCCAAAGGGACUUCUGAGAGUUCUCCUGACUGCACAUGAGUCACAGCAGAUCACGAGGGCGGUAUCAGAAGACAUACAGGCAAACAAACACAGAGCUGCUGCAUCCUCAAGUUAUGCUUCAAGCAUGGUUGCUCCACAGCUUUGUGAAUCAGCAGUCUUGUGUUCUUGGCCAGUUUCUACCAUUUACAUAUCCUGACUCCAAACCUACAGCUGCAUGACUUGUUUGCAUGACUAAUUUCACUGAACUCCAAGGGCAGGACUUCAGGGGCCUCCAAUUGCAGCUCCCAGUACGUGAGGGAGGUCACACCUAAUCAAGAGCCCCUGCUCCCCCCUCAGCCAAAGCAGUGAAGCUCCAUCAAAUGUGGAUCUCCAACAUCCCAGUCACAGAACUAUUUGCAAUGCUAGAUCUCUUUCCAUUCCUCUAACAGAGGUCUUAAAAUCAGGAGGAGGGAUGGAAGACAUGAUGACCUGGAUUAUGCCAUAACCUAGUGGCUACAGCAGCAUUCUGAGCCAUGAGUGGGUUGCAUCCCAAAAGGCCAAGAUGAAAGUGAACUGAGAUUUCCCACUCCCUAGCUGACUACAUUUAUUAAGAUACUGUGGGAAGGAAGCUCUGCUGCUUCCCUAACCCUUUUCACAGAAGCCUGUGGUUUUUCUGUGAAUGACACUGGCUCGGUGCUAAAAGGCUCUGAGGGAGCACGGCAGAGUGGGCCUCUCCAGGGAUUACAGUGGAAUUUUUUAUUACUGUGGAAUAGCCUUUGCUGUACUCCUGAAUCAGGCUGAGGGCCAGGUCACUGACACCUGUGCAGGCAUGGGCAGCCCCAUUUAGACACCUUGGGAACUGCCAGGACAGUUGGUGGUAGGAAUUUUUACAUACCCCUAGGCUCAAACAGCUACCACAGCAGAAAAUAGCUUCCCUGAUAGGUAUCUAGAAGAUAGGUAGUUUUCUUGAACUUGGCCAGAUGAAUCCUCUGAGUUCCACUUCUGGUGCCCAAUGUAAGCAUUGUAGAACCUAUCCAUCAUGACAGUGCAUUUAUUUAAUGACUUGGAUGUUUGAGGGCAAGUCUCAUAAUCCUAUGUAUUUUAACUCACCAUCCCAAACAUCUAAUUACUUACCUCAUGAUGAUAUUUUAAAGAUUAAUUUACAUUUGAGGAAAUGGCUCUAGGGUCCCUAGGGAAAUGGUCACAGCACCAAACCUACUGGAGUUCAAGAAGUGUUUGGACAAUGCUCUAGGGUACACUGUGUGAGCUGUCCUGUGCAGGGCAGGACUUUGAUGAUCCUUAUGGGUCCCUUCCAACUCAGGAUAUUCUGUGAUAUAUCACAGACACACAUGUAAUCCUGAGCACUUUCCAUGUAAUUAAAAAGAGCAGCAAGUGUUACCCUGAGAGCGAGAGCUGGCAGAACCACCAGCUCCAUCGCAAAUACUUGUCAUACAGGUUCUGAAUCGCCCUGGGAUGCACAGGUUGCAUUACCUGAAAAAGGGUGCAGUAGUAAGGCAGACAAGUUGUUCUGAGUAUCACCAUAUGUGCAGAGCACACCUGGCCUUUUCCUGAGAACCUCCCCAGGACUGGGAGUAUGUAACACUCCAAAGAUGGAAGACUGAUGGAGGUGAAUUGCUGGCCUUUUCAGCAGAUUGAAAAAAAAUGGCUCUUGGUGAUGUCGUGGAUGUUCUCAACUCACCUGCAACAAACAGGACCACAAUGAGAGUGAAUUCAUGUUGGCUAUCACAUUGUUAAAAAGGCUUAAACCUAGCAAGAGCUCUGACCACUUGGCAUUUUUAUCAAAAGUGGGCAUCCUACCCUGUAAAAACAUGCCAGCUACCCAAUUAUUUAUAAAGGUAAUCAUAACUGACUACCAUCAGUAGAUCCUGUAUUGUAUUGAAUUCAAGGUAUCUCCCUUUUAGUCCUGCCUGAGGCGUGGGAUGGAGUUUCAGAGCCAUCCUCACCUUGGUUUGUUAUCAGCCAGCUCCAAACAACUCUCUCAUCUGCCUGCAGAUCUCCUGGUCUGUGUGUCAAGGUAUCUGCCUUUUCCAUGAAGGAUGAACACAUUUCCCAAACUGUGGCUUCUUUUCCCUCUCUGAAUAAAAAAUUAAUAAAUGUUGUCA
rnacentral:lncRNA from 1 species